rnacentral:rRNA from 1 species
UACGUAGGGGGGCUAGCGUUGUCCGGAAUCAUUGGGCGUAAAGAGCGCGUAGGCGGCCAGAUAAGUCCGGUGUGAAAGUCAAAGGCUCAACCUUUGAAUGCCGCUGGAAACUGUCUGGCUAGAGUCCGGGAGGGGCGAGUGGAAUUCCUGGUGUAGCGGUGAAAUGCGCAGAUAUCAGGAGGAACACCGAUGGCGAAGGCAGGUCUCUGGGCAUUAACUGACGCUGAGGAGCGAAAGCAUGGGGAGCGAACAGG